rnacentral:rRNA from 1 species
GAUGAACGCUGGCGGCGUGCUUAACACAUGCAAGUCGAACGGAAAGGCUCCUGCUUGCAGGGGUACUCGAGUGGCGAACGGGUGAGUAACACGUGGGUGAUCUGCCCUGCACUUCGGGAUAAGCCUGGGAAACUGGGUCUAAUACCGGAUAGGACGAUGGUUUGGAUGCCAUUGUGGAAAGUUUUUCGGUGUGGGAUGAGCUCGCGGCCUAUCAGCUUGUUGGUGGGGUAAUGGCCUACCAAGGCGUCGACGGGUAGCCGGCCUGAGAGGGUGUACGGCCACAUUGGGACUGAGAUACGGCCCAGACUCCUACGGGAGGCAGCAGUGGGGAAUAUUGCACAAUGGGCGCAAGCCUGAUGCAGCGACGCCGCGUGGGGGAUGACGGCCUUCGGGUUGUAAACUCCUUUCGCUAGGGACGAAGCGUUUUGUGGCGGUACCUGGAGAAGAAGCACCGGCUAACUACGUG